GGUCAAGCGAAUAUGGGUCCAUA
rnacentral:rRNA from 2 species